UCCCUGCCGUAAAGCUGCGCCCUCGAGGCCGUGGGUAGGCCGCCCCUCCCAACGUCGGCGUCUCCUCCUAUUCCCCGGAGCGUGCGCAGGCUGGAGGUAAAUGAAGAAUUCAGAGCUUGAACCCAAGUUCGAAACAAGAUGCCAAAAAAGGAAGAAAAGAUCAAAGAGCUUGGAACAGAAUUCCGGCAAAAUCAAAAACAGGUCCUCUUCCGUGGCAUCUACGGGCAGAUAGAGGGUCGUGCCAACCAUCAUCUCUACCUGUGCUGCCUCUACCUAAAGGAGUUGCUCCUCUUCCUCCAAUUCCUUUACCUGGAAUAAAUGGUAAACCGUUAUCACCACCCCCGUCAUCUUCGUUCAAGGACCUCCUCCUCCAUCAUUACCUUUGUUGGGGUACCUUUUGUUCCAGGAUCAUCACUUGCUCUAACUUAAAGAAUUAAGCAGAAAUAAAUAUAUGAAACUGAACUUCA
rnacentral:lncRNA from 1 species